CGGCCCCCCUCUUGCUGCGUUCGACCCGGCGCGAGCUCAACCAGCCCCGCUCCGGCCCGGAGACGGCCCUGCGGACCGCGGGAACAAACGCCAGACUGGUCCGGAUACAGAAACUUGUCAACUGAUGGGAACAAAGAACUGAGAGAUUUGGCUUUACCAGGACACUUAACGCAAUCUUAAAAAAAAAAAAAAAAUCAGGGUUCCACAGAACUUCUGCUGUGUAGUGGCUUUUCCUU